rnacentral:tRNA from 1 species
GGCGCUGUAGCACAGUGGGUUAAAGCCCUGGCCUGCAGUGCCAGUUUCCCAUAUCAGCGCCA